GACAGAGAGGGCAAGUGUUAUCCAUCAUAGUUAGGUGUAAAGAGUACGCUAGAUGGUUCCGAAAAAAGAAUAAAUAUUUAAAAAUCAUACUAAUGUAUGCUAAAUUUUCUUAAUCGAGGAACUAGAGAAAGUUAAAGGUAAUUUAAAUUGCUAGUGUAGGGGUAAAAUCCUUCGAUAUUAGCAGGAAAACUUUUUGCGAAAGCCGUUUACUGGGCUGAUACUGACGCUGAGGCGCGAAAGCCAGGGGAGCGAACGGG
rnacentral:rRNA from 1 species